CUCAAUCUUCUAAAGUAAACCACUAGGUCUCUGAUGCUCGUACUUUACCUGCUGACAAUUCAAAUAUCGAGAUAUAUACGCAACAAUAUCCUUCUUCAUCUUCCUUUACCAAUAAUAUUACCGCAAGUCAUGAUACAUAUUAUUAAUGCCUGUAUGAAUAGAAUACCGAGAACUAUGUGUCCACGCCUCCUUUUUCUAAAUGGGAAGUUUGAAAUCGGGUAUACAAUAUUAUAGGAGGAAAACUCUUAUUCCUUUGCGAGAAUUGGGUUUUAGAAUUUGGGAGAGUCGCCACCUAAUGAUUAUAGUGCAUUAGGACACUUUUAAAGAUGAAUUUGGGAUGAAGAACUAGAGUUUGAGUAAAGGCUAGAAAUUAUCUCGAGGGAAGGUGUUAGGCACCCCUCAAGAUCCACUAGCGUGGUUCCCGGCCGUACUACAAUUGUGACUUUAAACAAAGAUGAAGAAGCAAGUAGAGUUUUCACAUAAUCGUUACAAACAAGUUCAAGAAUUUAAAAAUAGAUAGGAGAAAC
rnacentral:lncRNA from 1 species